rnacentral:rRNA from 1 species
GACGAACGCUGGCGGCGUGCUUAACACAUGCAAGUCGAACGGAAAGGCCCUGCUUUUGUGGUGUGCUCGAGUGGCGAACGGGUGAGUAACACGUGAGUAACCUGCCCUUGACUUUGGUAUAACUUCAGGAAACUGGAGCUAAUACCGGAUCGGAGCUCCUGUUGCAUGGUGAGGGUUGGAAAGUUUAGGCGGUUGGGGAUGUAUUCGCGGCUUAUCAGCUUGUUGGUUGGGUAGUGGCUUACCAAGGCAUUGACGGGUAGCCGGCCUGGGAGGGUGACCGGACACAUUGGGACUGAGAUACGGCCCAGACUACUACGGGAGGCAGCAGUGGGGAAUAUUGCACAAUGGGCGGAAGCCUGAUGAAGCCACGCCGCGUGCGGGAUGACGGCCUUCGGGUUGUAAACCGCUUUCGCCUGUGACGAAGCGUGAGUGACGGUAAUGGGUAAAGAAGCACCGGCUAACUACGUG